AUGGUGUGGGAAAGGCAGGUCUCUGCUCUUGUUGGGGUGCCUGGAGCUGGUGCUGCUAGACAUAUGGAGGAGCUGAGCUCUGGGGGAAGCAGGCAGGAGAAACCAGGGGAGGGAGUGAGACGGAAACCUGGUUCGGAAGCCAGUCUGGAACUAACAGGAUCACGCUGGCCUCUAUGUCUACAGAAGUUCUAUCUGGGAAUCUUGUAUUUUAACACGAGAGGUCUUCAAAAUGUUCGUGGAAACUGCAUAUUAUGUAAAACCAGGCAAAGAGGUCAGUGUGUGUGUGUGUGUGUGUGUGUGUGUGUAAAUAAAGUUUUAAUUCUGUUUUUCCAUGGAUAUUUGAAGUACCCUUGUAGUACUGAUAGGAUUCAGGAGAUUUCCACCUGGGGUAUCACGUUUUUAAGAAGUUUUUUUGUUUAUUUGAGAAGCAGAGAGACAGAGAGGGAAACAGAGAAAGCUCCCAUCCACUGGUUCAUCCCCCAACAUUUGCAAUGACUGGAGCUGGGCCAAGGUUUGAGCCAAGAACCAGGAACACAAUCCAAGUCAUCCGUGAGGAUGGCAGGAACCCAACUACUUGCCAUCAUAGCUGCCUCCUAGGGACCAUAUUGGCAGGAAGCUGAAGUCAGCAGCCAGAGUAGGGAGUUGGACUGAUGCAUUCCAUUGCAGGACAGACAGGCAUCUUACAGCUAGGCAAAAUGCCUGCUCUUUCAUCACCUUUCUUUACUUAACAACAUAAACCAACAACACAAAAUUGCUAGAACCUUCUGUGCCUCUACAAAAUUAAACACACUUUUGCAUGCUUCCUAAUUUGAAUGUGAUUUUUUCUAGAGCUCCAAAUCAUAGGGCAGUGGUGAUUGAAAUGACUUGGUCAUGAAUCUAAGGUAUAAAGUGCCAUCUGUUUUGAGCAGCUAGGAAAAAAGAUAAUGGGAGCGACAGUUUUCCAAGAUAGAUGGUUAUUGGAAACCAACAUUUUGUUGAGGCAAGACUGAGACAGCACUCAGAGGUCAUUCACAAUCCUCCCAGCAUCUGAUGACAAAAGGAAAACAAAACAAUGUGAAAUCUAGGAAAUAGUGUCAUUUUCCUGCUUCUUGUGUUAAGCUCAGGAAUCGAGGGCUGUUGCAUUACAUUUCCAACAGGCAUCACAAAGCAUGCACAGGCUUCAUUCUUGAGUGCCAAACAGAAAGAACAAGAGCCAGAAAGAAAUGCAGCCACUCCCUUUUGAGGCCCAGAGAUUCUGCCUUUCACUGUAUGAAAUCAACGUUCAGCGUGUCAAUCCUAGAUUUCAGGCUUGGAGUGUCCCCAGUUUAGGAGACAGUUUCCCCAAUGAGAAGACUUUGACAGAAGAUCACAUAAUUAUUUGCACUGAGUCCCCAAAGUUACAUUGAUAGACAGCAUGUUAGUUGUCCACUCCUCCUUAUUUGAGUGUCUUCAUUUCAGGCUUUUUGCUGUUGACUCUUUUAGAAUUACAGAGAUAUAAGGAGAUCUUAUUUGUUUGUUUCUUACUCUUGAGUUCAUUCCCUCUGGUAUUAAAUUGUGUUUGUGAUUCUCUCUGAAUAUCCCAGUGUUUGUAGGCUACUGUUUAAAAUACAGAGAUCCAAAUUGAAAAUGCCUUGCAGAACCAAAACAUCAGGCAUGCAAAAAGCCUCUCCUCUCUCCUUGGUUAGAUGAGGCCUUUUUGUCCACAUCCCAAGUGAUUCCUGCUCAUCUGCUCCCUUCUCCUCUUGGCAACGUCUUUAUGAUAAAAUGUCCACUUUCUCCAAACUCUUAUGGUCCCUGCUGCUCUGCUUCCCAUUAACCGUGUGUGUUUCCGCUUGUUUGUCUCCAGAUGUAUUCGUUAGCAUUUUUCCAGUUGAAUCUCAUCCUGUUAUUUCUUGCUCAUAUUGCUAACCUCUCCAGGGGCCCAUAUGCUUCUACAGCUCUUGUGCCAAAAUCACAGAGCAUCUUAAUACAAACCUUCAUUCAACGUCCUCGUACCAGCCAAGACCACAGGCUGGAUGGCCUGCCAGCCUGAUUUAUAACCAGCUCUGUUCCAGCGUAACAGGACGAGUAGCAGCUUUGACGUUGAAUCAGAAUCAUGGCAUUUCCUAGUUGUAUGACCUUAGGCAAGGUGGUUUAAGCCUUGGCCUCCAUUUCCUCCCCUUCAUUCUGAGAAUGUUAACUUCUUUGCAUGAUCUGAGCAUGAGGUGGUGGUCGUGACGUGCCUUCCACGUUUCCUGGCAUGUUGGAGACACCUUUCUGUCUUCUGGGAUGGUAGAGGGGACCUGGGAUUGUUGCUGAGCAUCCAAGGAAGGAGAGCAGCAGUGAAAAUACUGUUUAAAGAAAUUGCUUAAAUUCUAAGAGAAAAUUAAAAAAAAAAAUGUUGGCUAUAAAACUUGGCCCUGCAAUGUCAUUGAGUGAGUUUUCUUUCUUGUUGCUAGGUUCCAGGUUCCUGAACACCCUUUGCUUGCUCACACCGGCAUGCCUAAUGCAAUUAUCUUUCUACAGAAUGCCCAAAACUUUCCAUGCAUUUGCCCACCUAACAAAUUUCUCUUGGCUUUGGAGAAGAGAUCACCUUCUUCGGGAAGCUAUCUUAGCUUCUCCUGGCUUAGUUAAAAACUGCUACUUUCAUGCUUCUACAUCCACCUCUGUAAAUCAGCACACAAAUCACAUUUUUGUAAUUUGCACUAACCUUGUCCUUCUGGGACUUGGCUGUGUACCACUACAGGGCAGCAUCUACUACACUCCACUUCUCUCUAUUCCCAGGGUCUAAAAUUGUGCUUGGGACAAUAAAUGCCUGAUGAGGACAUGGGAGAAUGAAUGA
ensembl:lncRNA